UUUUAGACAAUUAUGAAAAAGACAAAUGUUGAAUAUAAAAUCAAUGCAAAAUGAAGUCAUAGAGAUUUUUCUAUGAAAACAGCACUAAUUCAACUCCCAACUUUCAUUCAGUUCUUUAAGUCCCCUCUCAGUAUUCCAGUGCAUCAAGAAUUUGUUGAUUUAAUUUUCUUGAAGAACUUGAAAACUCUUGAAGAACUCCCAGAGGCUUCUGACUUUCUCUAGACCAACCUACGCCUGCUCUAAGUCUGGGGAAAAGUGAAUGGGCUUUCAGAAAUCAACUUUAUGAAGAAUUCCAAAAGAUAACCACAAAAAGAAUACAAGAUGCCCUGGAGUGUCAAAACUGACAGUGUCUCCACUGUGGUUGUGCAGUAAAUAAUCCUCACAUGAUACCUCUCAAAUGGAUGCAAAGAGAAAGACAGUGGUUGAAGAAAUUAAAAAGUAUAUAAAGACUACCAGUUCCCAGCCUUCUUCCACUUGGACAGAGCCAUGCCACUGAGGUCUAGUGGAGCCUUAAUAAUUGGAAGUGGCCCAGGCAGGCUCUUAGUGUCUAAGGGCCCUGUUUUGCACACUCACUGCCCUGUAAUAUAGCCUCUUGUAAACAGAAUUUAAGCCAUGUAUCGGGAUAUACUGUGAUUGCAGAAAUGAUAACAUACAUCAUUAGACUGAGAAAGGAGACUCAUCUAAGCAACUGAGAAGAAGAGUGGAAAAGAAUGAAAUAAAAGAAACAACUAUCAUCCAAUAUGUUAACCUCAAGUAUGAGAAAAUUAAUAUUUAUAAUGAAUAAAGAACAAAUAUAUUUGUGUGAGUAUGACUUGACAAAACAUACCACAAACAUAUAAUAUAGUUAAAUAUGCAUGUAAUAGUGAAAGAAAUUAAAACAAAACAAUCUUAGAAUAUAAAUCUUAUUUUAAAAAUGUAUUAAAAAUUAUGUAGUAUGUAAUGUUGAUGAGAAUGUGAUGAAGCUAGCACAUUUAAACAUAGGAGGUGAUGUUGUAAAUUUUUGCAGCUAUUUUGGAAAAUAUUCUGGCAAUAUGUGUGAAAGAAAAUCAUGAUACUCAUAUUUUUGAUAUUAGAAUUUAUCUGGAACAGUGUGAGAAAAAAAGGACCUAAAGUUUUUAUAGAGCCAUGUCUAUAAUACUGAAGCUAUCUCUAAUAAAACAUUUCUAAAAACCUGACCAAAAAAGUGAAACCAUGACUCCAGUAAUGUUAUGGCGGUUUAAAUUUUGAAAUGCUAGUUUAAUAAAAGUAUCAUGUAAGCCUUUCAAAUAGUAUCCAUUAAGAGUAUGUAGAAAGUUAUAAUAAUAACGAACAUUAUAAAAAAUUUACUAUUUAUAAAGUGAUUUCAUUUAUUGCAUCUGACCCUGAGGCAAGUAGUCAAAGAGAAUAGUCAAAGGGAACAUAAUGUAGAAGAUAAGAGUGUGGGUCUUAGAAAUAUACAGGUAUUAUUCCAACCCCAGCUUAUAAACCAUGUAACUUUUGGCAUAUUUUUCAUCCUCUCUCUGGUUCUUAGUUUGUUAUCUGUAGGAAUGAGAAUAAUAAUUAGACGUACUCCUAUGGAAUUCUUCAGAAGAUUUAGAUAAGGCAUUAAGUUAUAGAAAACUUAUUAUUCCAUUGUUCAGAUAAUAAAACUGGCCACCAGAAAAACAUGUAUUGUCUAAUAUAAUUUAUUUACUAAGUUUUAGCAUCAGAAUUUGAUUUCAGGUAACCAGAUAACACAUCUGUCAAAAAUAUGAUAUGCUAUUUUUGUCUGUGCAUAGUAUGUAUUUUGCUGCCUCAGCAAGAGAAUAUAAUCUACUAAAAAAAGCAAAGAAAAGAAAAGAAGAAAGAAAACUUGAGUCAUAUACAUGUUUUAUUUCUUCCAUCCCCUAUUAGUGUGCAAUGGACGUAAUAUGAGUAAAUAACCUUAAAGGAAUGAUGUUCCUUAAAUGAGUAAUUCCCUUGGCACAGGUCUAACAAGAUGACCGAGAUCAUUUAAAGUGCCCCAGUUUGAAUUUCCUCAACUUACUUCACUUCGGUACAAAAGUUUUUGUAUUCUUUGGCCCUGCAUCGUUAUUUCUUGGAAAGAUACAUCUGCCACCAGUUUCCUGGUGAUUCAUUGCAUUGCCUCCAAACUAAAAGCAUUAUCAUUCUUUCAGUCAUCUGGUCUAAUGACAUGGCUUAUGAUACAAUAAAAAUGGGAGAUACAAUAUUUCAGCUACAUGAAAUUUACAUGAAAUUUAGUUGCAUGCAGGAAAAAAAACUGUGAUUAGCAAUCAAGUGAUUGCUAAUUUAAGGUUACGGGCUUAUACGUCAACUUCUAAUGUUAUUAUUAUUAUUUGGUGCUAUAAAAAUUUGAGAGAAAAAGAAGAAUGGGAAAAGGAAAACAAUGCUGGUAAGGAAAUUAUCCCCCUGCCCCAACUGCCUAUAUAUUUUGUUGUACUAUAAAACAUAUAUUUUUGCAUAAUAAAAAUCAUAGGGCUGGAUAUACGAUUUAUUUUAACCA